AGGGUUCGAUUCUGGCUCAGGGUGAACGCUGGCGGCGUGCCUAAUACAUGCAAGUCGAUCGCACUACUUCGGUAGUGAGAGGCGAACGGGUGAGUAACACGUAGGUAACAUAUCUAUACGACGAGGAUAACGGUUGGAAACGACUGCUAAGACUGGAUAGGAGUAGAGGAGGCAUCUCUUUUACUUUAAAGGACUUUUCGGAGUACGCGUAUGGAGUGACCUGCGGCGCAUUAGUUAGUUGGUGGGGUAGUGGCCUACCAAGACGAUGAUGCGUAGCCGGACUGAGAGGUUGAACGGCCACAUUGGGACUGAGACACGGCCCAGACUCCUACGGGAGGCAGCAGUAGGGAAUUUUCGGCAAGUGGGGGGAACCCUGACCGAGCAACGCCCGCGUGAAUGACGAAGUACUUCGGUAUGUAAAGUUUCUUUUAUUAAGGAAAGAAAGUGCAGGUAGGAAAAGCUGCAUUGACGGUACUUAUUGAAUAACGCCCCGGCUAACUAUGUGCCAGCCGCGGC
rnacentral:rRNA from 1 species